GAACGCACAUUGCGCUCUCUGGUAUUCCGGAGAGCAUGCCUGUUUGAGUAUCAGUUAACCAUUCUCAAGCUACAUAAUUCUUAGGAAGCAUGUGGCAUGGAACUGAGUGUUCCCGGUAUGAGUGCUUCGGCGCUGUAACUGGGAGACUUGAAACUGAUCUCGCGGGAGCAGUGGUCAUUAAGGAUCAGCUCGUUGCAGGUGUACUAGUUGGAGGCGUCGCAAGACGUUUUCAUUCUUAGCACCAAUACGUAACGUUCAGAUCUGACAACUGUCACCGACGAACGCAGGAACUUGGAUGAGGGCGCAAGCCCAACUCUUAAUUCUUGAUCUCAAAUCAGGUAGGACCACCCGCUGAACUUAAG
rnacentral:misc_RNA from 1 species